CGGCGGACGGGUGAGUAACGCGUGGGUAACCUGCCUCAUACAGGGGGAUAACAGUUGGAAACGGCUGCUAAUACCGCAUAAGCGCACAGUACCGCAUGGUACGGUGUGAAAAACUCCGGUGGUAUGAGAUGGACCCGCGUCUGAUUAGGUAGUUGGUGGGGUAACGGCCUACCAAGGCGACGACCAGUAGCCGGCCUGAGAGGGUGAACGGCCACAUUGGGACUGAGACACGGCCCAA
rnacentral:rRNA from 1 species